GUUGUAGUUGAAUGGGUCCAUGUCUUUAACUAAACCAAGAUGGACUUAAUUCAUGGCUACGCGGUGGAACCCUAUUUAAUAAGUUGAUCAAAUUAAAACUAAUGAACCGGUUGGUGUCUAAGGUAAGUUUGGCAUUUUGACCAGUGGUUUUUAAGUGGGAGCUACUCGCAGUGAUUCGAUCUCUGACGAGUUAAUGGCUUAUCCCCACCACUGAUCUCACUUACCUGGCCAACUUGGUGAAUUAGGUUUUGAUUAGAUCACUUGGUGAUUAGGGCUCACCCAUGUCAUUAGGUAAAUCAGUUUGACUAAUUUAGGUACUCCUAAUGCCAGCUUUAAUUAAAUCUUUUUUUAAUCUGACUUGGUGAAGUCAGUGGAAAGAUUGAAAUUGGCUGGAUAUUUUCUUCUCAUCUAUCCUUUAAUAAAAUUCUCAAAAAUUAUUAGGUCCCUAAGAAUGAUUAAGUUAUAUUGAUAACUAAGUCAUAGCCUCCCAUUAAGUGAGUGAUAAUGAGUCCAUUAGUUUAAUAAUCAUUGGAGACCCAAAGGCCUGGUGCUUAUUGACUAAUAGAAUUAUCAUUCAUAAUAUGAUAAUUUGGUUUGAAUCUUUCUGAUGGUGAUCAGGUUGG
rnacentral:lncRNA from 1 species